AUUGAACGCUGGCGGCAGGCCUAACACAUGCAAGUCGAGCGGAUGAAGGGAGCUUGCUCCUGGAUUCAGCGGCGGACGGGUGAGUAAUGCCUAGGAAUCUGCCUGGUAGUGGGGGAUAACGUCCGGAAACGGGCGCUAAUACCGCAUACGUCCUGAGGGAGAAAGUGGGGGAUCUUCGGACCUCACGCUAUCAGAUGAGCCUAGGUCGGAUUAGCUAGUUGGUGGGGUAAAGGCCUACCAAGGCGACGAUCCGUAACUGGUCUGAGAGGAUGAUCAGUCACACUGGAACUGAGACACGGUCACGACUCCUACGGGAGGCAGCAGUGGGGAAUAUUGGACAAUGGGCGAAAGCCUGAUACAGCCAGGCCGCGUGUGUGAAGAAGGUCUUCGGAUUGUAAAGCACUUUAAGUUGGGAGGAAGGGCAGUAAGUUAAUACCUUGCUGUUUUGACGUUACCAACAGAAUAAGCACCGGCUAACUUCGUG
rnacentral:rRNA from 1 species